rnacentral:rRNA from 1 species
AGUGAACGCUGGCGGUAGGCCUAACACAUGCAAGUCGAACGGCAGCACAGAGGAGCUUGCUCCUUGGGUGGCGAGUGGCGGACGGGUGAGGAAUACAUCGGAAUCUACUCUGUCGUGGGGGAUAACGUAGGGAAACUUACGCUAAUACCGCAUACGACCUACGGGUGAAAGCAGGGGAUCUUCGGACCUUGCGCGAUUGAAUGAGACGAUGUCGGAUUAGCUAGUUGGCGGGGUAAAGGCCCACCAAGGCGACGAUCCGUAGCUGGUCUGAGAGGAUGAUCAGCCAGACUGGAACUGAGACACGGUCCAGACUCCUAAAGGAAGCAGCAGUGGGGAAUAUUGGACAAUGGUCGCAAGCCUGAUCCAGCCAUACCGCGUGGGGGAAUGAGGCCUUCGGGUUGUAAAGCCCUUUUGUUGGGAAAGAAAUCCAUCUGGUUAAUACCCGGGUGGGAUGACGGUACCCAAAGAAUAAGCACCGGCUAACUUCGUGCCAGCCGCCGCAGUAA